rnacentral:rRNA from 1 species
UGAAACCGUUUAGGGGUAAACCUGAGAAACCCGAAAGGUCGAAGGGAGAAAUUCAUUCGCGUUUCGCCGUUGGCGUGAGACGGUCGCGUGACGGAAAACGUUCGCGUUUUCCGCGCCUUCCGUUUUUCGAUCCGAUAGCGAACGCGUGCACUUUUCUCCUGGUAGGACGUCGCGAUCCGUUGAGUGUCGGUCUACGGCUUACGGUGGAGCCCGAAUGUACGGCUUGCCGUCCACGUCGGACCCGUUUGUCCCGGCUGACUCGCUCGACGGUAUACGAAAGGUUUAAGGCCGCUCACUAUUAGUGCGUUCGGCUCGUAGCAAAGCGCGUCAAUGUAGGUCGGUGAUCGGACCUGGUGCCGGUUCCGAUCUCUGGCGACUGUUGGCUGCGAAGUUCUCGAACAGACCUCUAACCGAUCUGCGACGCUAUAGCUUUGGGUACUUUCAGGACCCGUCUUGAAACACGGACCAAGGAGUCUAGCAUGUGCGCGAGUCAUUGGGAAUCAUUAAACCUAAAGGCGCAAUGAAAGUAAAAGUCCGCCUCGCGCGGACUUAGGGAAGACGGGCGGUUUACCCUUAAAAGUGACCGCUCCGCACUCCCGGGGCGUCUCAUUCUCAUCGCGAGAAGAGGCGCACCAAGAGCGUACACGCUGGGACCCGAAAGAUGGUGAACUAUGCCUGGUCAGGACGAAGUCAGGGGAAACCCUGAUGGAGGUCCGUAGCGAUUCUGACGUGCAAAUCGAUCGUCGGAACUGGGUAUAGGGGCGAAAGACUAAUCGAACCAUCUAUAUGGGGUUUC